GCUGCCCCUAGAGGCCUUGCAGGUGUGCCUGCUGUGUUACGUGUGUGUCAGUAGUGACAGACAGGAGCGAGGCCAUGCCUAGGCUCUGUGUCCUGACCUGUACACGUCUAAAUGAUUAAUAGCCUGACACU